GACGAACGCUGGCGGCGUGCUUAACACAUGCAAGUCGAACGGUAAGGCCCCAGCUUGCUGGGGUACACGAGUGGCGAACGGGUGAGUAAUACGUGGGUGACCUGCCCCGCACUUCGGGAUAAGCCUGGGAAACUGGGUCUAAUACCGGAUAGGACCGCACCGUGAGGGUGUGGUGGAAAGUUUUUCGGUGUGGGAUGGGCCCGCGGCCUAUCAGCUUGUUGGUGGGGUAAUGGCCUACCAAGGCGGCGACGGGUAGCCGGCCUGAGAGGGUGGACGGCCACAUUGGGACUGAGACACGGCCCAGACUCCUACGGGAGGCAGCAGUGGGGAAUAUUGCACAAUGGGCGGAAGCCUGAUGCAGCGACGCCGCGUGGGGGAUGACGGCCUUCGGGUUGUAAACUCCUUUCACCAUCGACGAAGGUUUUCUGACGGUAGAUGGAGAAGAAGCACCGGCUAACUACGUG
rnacentral:rRNA from 1 species